UGUCUGUGCUCAGUGGGUGUCCAGUGUUGUUGACCUGCUGACUGGUCAGAUUAAAAUGUGGAGAAGAGCCUCUGACCACAGUACCAGCACAGGAGCAGAACCACUGCUGGGGAGUCUUUUCUCUUUAAAGCAAGGGACAGAGAAUCUUGUUCCUUCCCUGCAAAACCUCAGUCAGAUCCAUGGGACAGCAAUUGGCUGCCAUCAGAGCUGGGCGAGGACUGGGCAGCAGGAGCAGCAGGAGCACACAGCUCUUUUACUGGCUCCAGGGAUGCAGGGCCAAGGAGCCUGAAGGCUCAUCCAUGCCAUCCAGACAACUCUCCCCCACUCGCCGACGCACACGCUGAACCAAGCCUCAA